rnacentral:rRNA from 3 species
CGACCUGAGCUCAGGCAAGAUUACCCGC